rnacentral:tRNA from 1 species
GCAGUCGUGGCCGAGUGGUUAAGGCGAUGGACUCGAAAUCCAUUGGGUCUCCCGCGCAGGUUCGAAUCCUGCGGCUGCG